rnacentral:tRNA from 1 species
ACUCGAAUAGCUUAUCUUGUAGAGCGCGACACUGAAGAUGUCGACGAGGUAUUUAUGCCUUUGAGUAAAU